rnacentral:rRNA from 1 species
UGACGGUACCUGACUAAGAAGCACCGGCUAAAUACGUGCCAGCAGCCGCGGUAAUACGUAUGGUGCAAGCGUUAUCCGGAUUUACUGGGUGUAAAGGGAGCGCAGGCGGUGCGGCAAGUCUGAUGUGAAAGCCCGGGGCUCAACCCCGGUACUGCAUUGGAAACUGUCGUACUAGAGUGUCGGAGGGGUAAGCGGAAUUCCUAGUGUAGCGGUGAAAUGCGUAGAUAUAUGGAGGAACACCGGUGGCGAAAGCGGCUCUCUGGUCUGUAACUGACGCUGAGGCUCGAAAGCGUGGGGAGCGAACAGGAUUAGAUACCCUGGUAGUCCACGCCGUAAACGAUGAGUGCUAGGUGUUGGAUCCUUUCCGGGAUUCAGUGCCGCAGCUAACGCAUUAAGCACUCCGCCUGGGGAGUACGACCGCAAGGUUGAAACUCAAAGGAAUUGACGGGGGCCCGCACAAGCGGUGGAGCAUGUGGUUUAAUUCGAAGCAACGCGAAGAACCUUACCAGGUCUUGACAUCCCGAUGCUAUUUCUAGAGAUAGAAAGUUACUUCGGUACAUCGGUGACAGGUGGUGCAUGGUUGUCGUCAGCUCGUGUCGUGAGAUGUUGGGUUAAGUCCCGCAACGAGCGCAACCCCUAUUGUUAGUUGCCAUCAUUCAGUUGGGCACUCUAGCGAGACUGCCGGUAAUAAACCGGAGGAAGGUGGGGAUGACGUCAAAUCAUCAUGCCCCUUAUGACCUGGGCUACACACGUGCUACAAUGGUUGGUACAACGAGUUGCGAGUCGGUGACGGCAAGCUAAUCUCUUAAAGCCAAUCUCAGUUCGGAUUGUAGGCUGCAACUCGCCUACAUGAAGUCGGAAUCGCUAGUAAUCGCGGAUCAGCACGCCGCGGUGAAUACGUUCCCGGGCCUUGCACUCACCGCCCGUCA